CCGCGGGAAGGGGCGUGCGCGGCGCGGCGGCUGCAGCCGGGAGGGACGGGGGUCCGGCGGCGGCUCCGGGCUGCCGGCUCCGUCCGUCCCUGUGUGUUUGGAGCGGAGGAAAGAUGGCAGCGGCUGCACUUCCUCUUGCACUUUCACCCCUGGGGGGAGGAGAAGGAGGGGGCGAUACCACCCCCCCUACAAAAAUCCAGCGGGGGCCCCCCGGCUGCUGCUCCCCGACCAAGCGCCGCCGCCGCCGGCCCCGGUCCGGGCCCCGCCCGCUUCGACGCACCCUCACCACCGGCGCCGCAAACUUUCCUCUCUUCUUUGGACGAGAAGACCCCCACCCUAUUCACAGAGACCCCCCCUCCAGCCAGUCGGGCUCCCCCCCUGCCCCCCCGCUUCCUGCCCCCCUCCCUCCCCGCAUCCGCCAAUGCAAGAGCAGCCAGAGCCAGCAGGCCGGCCCCCACCCCGCCCGCCCGCGGGGGCUGGGGGCUGCAGUCUCCCCCUUCCCCAGCACCGAUCCUCCAAUGCCGAGCCGGCAGCGAGGCCCCCCCCCCUGCGGCUCGUGGGGGUGGUGGGGCUGCGCUCGCCCCCUCCCCCAAAUAUCCGGGCUGCAGCUCGCCCCCGAGACCCCCCUCCCACUGGAGAGAGGAGGAGGGGCCGGCGGGGGGGCUGCAGGCAACCUUCCCCCCUCCCCAGGCGCGAAUCGUCCAAUGCAAACCCUCCCGGAGCUGCAGAGGCGCAGAGCGGCCCCCACCUCCUCGGCUCGCCUGAGGAGAGCCGAUCCCAGAGGGGCCAGGGGCUGCAGCGCAGACCGGCCUCCCCCCGGUCUUUCAUUGCAUUUCUCACCCCCACUCCCCGUACACGAUCAACUCUCAGCCUCGCCAGAAGAGCGAAGCGCCGGCAUUGUGGGGGAGGGAAGGGGUACAGCGGGAAUUCUUCCAGUGCGAAAAUGCCCUCCCCUUGGGAGCGGUUGGGAGGAACGGUACCCGCGGGCCGGGGGCUGCGGGAAGCACGGGCACCUCAGAGCCCCGAGCGCGUCCAUGUUGGGCAGAGCGCUGCCCGCGGAGCCCCUCCCGCGCACCCGGGGUUCCCACGGCGCCCGGAGCGCCCCACGCCCCAGCGCGGCGAGGCUCCCGCUCCCUCAAGUUACCCUUCCCCGGGCCCAGGUUAAACGCUCCAAAAAGCACUGCCGAAUUCACUGCGCAGGGUUGUCUGGACUGUCCUAGUGCUGAAUCUUCCCUGUGUGCUCGAGGUCUCUUUAUGAAGAGCUGCUAUUUCAACAUCAUCGUUAUUCAUUUGCAUCUGAAAUCUGCUUUCUGUCUUAGAGAGG
rnacentral:lncRNA from 1 species